UACGUAGGUGGCAAGCGUUGUCCGGAUUUAUUGGGCGUAAAGCGAGCGCAGGCGGUUUCUUAAGUCUGAUGUGAAAGCCCCCGGCUCAACCGGGGAGGGUCAUUGGAAACUGGGAAGCUUGAGUGCAGAAGAGGAGAGUGGAAUUCCAUGUGUAGCGGUGAAAUGCGUAGAUAUAUGGAGGAACACCAGUGGCGAAGGCGGCUCUCUGGUCUGUAACUGACGCUGAGGCUCGAAAGCGUGGGGAGCAAACAGG
rnacentral:rRNA from 1 species